AACAACUGUGUCGGGCUGCCUAGUUUCAAGUUCCCUUUCAAUUCAUGUCAGAGAUUUUUCCAUGCCAAGUAUGAACAAGGACUGUGAAAGUGAAUGAAGCUAGUUUUAAUCACUGGAAGGUAGACACGAAGAGGGAAACUGAAGAAGAUAUGAAGAUGAAAGCAGGUUCUAGAAUUGAUAAUUCCAAGACAAAAUCCUCAUGUAAAGAAGCUACGGGAUUUGUACAAGAAGGAAAAGGUAGGCUGUAUAUAUUUGGUAGAUGUGUUGCUAUGCUUCUUUGCUGGCAUGAUUGAAUCAAUCAUGUGUAUGAAUCCCUCGUUCUAUCUGUUUUUGUUAGUUAUCUUCCUUGGUCUCCUUUUUCCUGCUCCCUCUCGAUCAAUCUGUACAGUUUACUGUUAUCCUUUCAUAUGAAGGCUUCGGAUUACAACGUAACAGCUCAA